GAUGAACGCUAGCUACAGGCUUAACACAUGCAAGUCGAGGGGCAGCAUGGUCUUAGCUUGCUAAGGCCGAUGGCGACCGGCGCACGGGUGAGUAACGCGUAUCCAACUUGCCUUACACUCUUGGACAGCCUUCUGAAAGGGAGAUUAAUACAAGAUGUUAUCAUGAGUAAGCAUUUUCGCAUGAUUAAAGGUUUACCGGUGUAAGAUGGGGAUGCGUUCCAUUAGAUAGUAGGCGGGUAACGGCCCACCUAGUCUUCGAUGGAUAGGGGUUCUGAGAGGAAGGUCCCCCACAUUGGAACUGAGACACGGUCCAAACUCCUACGGGAGGCAGCAGUGAGGAAUAUUGGUCAAUGGACGAGAGUCUGAACCAGCCAAGUAGCGUGAAGGAUGAAGGUUCUAUGGAUUGUAAACUUCUUUAUACGGGAAUAAACGAAUCCACGUGUGGAUUUUUGCAUGUACCGUAUGAAUAAGGAUCGGCUAACUCCGUGCCAGCAGCCG
rnacentral:rRNA from 1 species